GUAUAGCUGUCCUUAAAGAACAGAAAAAAACUAUCCAUAUCUAAGAAAGUGUGGAAGUUUAAGUUAUUGCAUGCCAUGAUGAGUAUUUCAAAGAAACUUAUCUUUUUUUGUUUGUUUGAGAAAGUUGGGAUGGUGGAUGAUUGGGUGAACCAUUUAUACAAUAGCUCUCAUGCCAGAUGUAACCCUGUACACACAACUGUAAUUGCAUCCUUUUAGUAGUUAAAAGUUUUCUGCAAAAUUUGUUUUCUCAAACAUGGGUGAAGCAGACAGAUCAAUAUUCCAUCAGAUCAGUAGUCAUCAUAUGGUCAAGAUUAAGUAUACCUCAGGUCCAUUUCGUGGAAAUAAAAAAGAACUUGAUUACAAAAAGGAUUUUUGACUUGAAAGUUGUUAUGGGGUGGUAUUAGACUAAUGUAAUGGAUUCAAUAUGUAAAUUUUUUUAGAUAAUUGAUACUUGCUGAGUUCCAGAAUUUAGGCAUUUUUGGAGAGGCUGCUAAGACUUUUUGAAGAGAAUAACAGAUUUUGACCAAAUAAUUAAGUGAUACUUACAAUUUUUUUCCAGCAAAAUGUGAUCAAGGAGUGUGCACAUAAAAAAAAUUCAGACCAACUGAGCUUGUAAAUAUAUUUUUAGGACAUAUUUCCUGUCCAACGACCUGGCUCAGGGGUGAAACCCUGCAUAAUACACUACCGCAUUAUUUAAAAAAAAAAUUAUCCACCUGUUGAAAUAAAAACAUUCGAUACAAACUAUCGUAAACUAUGUCAUACCAAAAAAAGAGUCGCCCACCAGUUUCUAAUUUUAGCGAAAUAAGUUUUUGUGGAAGUUUCAAAAUUGAAAUGAAAUUCGGUUGAAAUAAAAGCACCGGUUUCAGCUUUAAGGCUGUUUCAGCAAAAAACAGUCACCCAGCAUUUUUAAAUAACACAAUAGAAAAACAAAAACAAUUUGUUGAGCAUUGUCAUAGAUAAAAUUAUGGAAAAAAUUUGUAUUUCACAAAAGAUUUUGUGUAUCACAUAGCCACAAUUACAUAUCAUUCACCAGGUUAUUAGACUGUUGUUGCAUUGACACUGAAAAGUACAGCUGACACUGCUACAUCUAAGCACAAAAAACAAUAUAAUGAGGAAAUUUUCUGGCAAUUUUUUUUUAAUAGAAACACAAAUCUGUCUGCUACUCUCACUUUUUGGCUAGGUAGUUAAAUACGCAAAGUUUCAUCUGGUAGGUGAAGAUACAGUAGCAAGAAACAAAAGUUGGCUAGGCUAAAGUACAUUUAUACCACACUGAGCAGAAAGGAAAAUUUUAGCACUAUGAUUAUGCUUGCAGCUUGAAACUUCAGACUGAAUAUGGUUGACAUUAAAUCACAGUUUUAACAUUUUAUAGUGUGCAGCAAGACAACGAAAAAUGCUUUAUAGCAAAAUAUGUGGAGAUGAAGCUAAUUCAUCUGCAACACAAUGCGUCUUGUGCAAAGAUUAUGUUGAUGUUAAAUGCCAUGGUGGAGUUGUUGGGGAUGGCCAUGUUGUAUGUAAAGAAUGUACUGGUAAUUUAGAUGAAAUUACUAGUGGUACUAUUAGCAAGGAAGAACUUGUUAUUGAGGGUGUUAGCAAGUUCAACUCCAAGUUAAUCAAAGAAGUUGUGGAAUCAAAGUCUUUAAAAUUAAUAUUUUCAGGCCAGCUGUACAGCCAUAGGCAUAAUACAUUUAAGAAGGGUGGCAAACAUAAGCGAAAUAUGGACGAUACUUGUGUGCUGGAUCUUUUAUCAGAUGGUCAAAGAGAGUUAAUCAUUUCACAGAUUAUGCACCAUUUUGGUAAAGAAAGCGAGAUGCAUGAUUAUUAUGUUAAAGUAUUACUGCCAGAAGCCGUGAUAUUAUUACUUGCGAAAUCCAUGAGGUGGUCUAGAGUUAAGGCUGAAGUUUUUCUUGGGUUAUACCUACAGGAGAGAAACAAAGACGACGCAGAAAAUUUAGAGCACCAAAGUACGUUCGUUGGAAUGGUGAAGGAGGGCAUGAGAAAUUAUCAGCGGCAAAAAAGUUGGCUUACAUGUGAAUAAUGAUGUUGAUGACAAUGGUAGCGAUAAAGACGUUGUUGACGAUGGUAACGAUGGUGACGUUGAUGACGAUGGUGACGAUGAUGACGAUGGUAGCGAUAAAGACAUUGAUGACGAUGGUGACGUUGAUGACGAUGGUAACGAUGGUGACGUUGAUGAUGAUAGUAACAAUGGUGACGUUGAUGGUUACAAUGGUUACAGCAAUGCUGAUCGAAACGGUAAUGAUGGCAGCCAUGAUGGUGAUGUUGAUUUUGCCCAAUCUGUUGUUAAUGAUAGUGGGAAAGUAAAUCUUCUUUUUCAUGUUAAUGACGACAAAAAUAAAGUUAUUCGACGACAAUAAAGAUGGCAUUGACAGUGAUUGUGACGAAAAAGAAAGAGACACCAUCAACUUACACGGAGAAAGUGACAAAGGAAGCUCCCACAAUGACGAUGA